UAUGAAGUGUCCAGAACAGGCAGGUCCAUAGCAACGGAAGGUGGACUAGUGGUGUCCAGGGGCUGGGAUGGGGGUGGGGAGUGACUGCUUACAGGAACGGGGUCUCUUUUGGGGCCGAUGAAAUGCGCUGGAAUUAGAGGUGACGAUUGCAUCAUUCAGCGAAGGCACUGAAAACCACUCCAUGGUGAAUUUUAUGACGGAUAGGAAUGAAGAAGAGAUUGAUCGGAUUUUUCCUGUUCUCGGUAACCUACAUCCAGAGCACAGUGCACCUCAUUGGAGCCCCCAGACGCAGGCCACCAGGAAGCAGCAGUGCAUUGUGGCCAGACCUGAUUGUUCAAUAGGAGAUUUAAAAUCCAAUUUGCAUACAUGUAUGUGUGAAAUUGGUCUGUUGGCUUUUACAUUUUCAAAAGCAGAUCAAAUAAAACUCAUACUUCA